CCAGUGCUGUUAGAAGAGGGCUGAGAGCAGGGAGAGCUCUCUUCUGCAGCACUGACU
rnacentral:pre_miRNA from 1 species